rnacentral:lncRNA from 1 species
UCCUGUCAUUAUUUUGUGAUAGCCACCUCUAUUGUAUCUCUGACCUUGCUGGUAACUAUUGUUGUUAUCAGAUGACCUUGGUAUGACCUCUACCAUAAUCAUCUCUUCUAUAUCAUACCUCUGAUGCUGUAUGACUUUCUGUCUUGAUUGUGAUACUCCUGGUUCUGUUAUACCGCUGAUUCUGGUGAUCUCUACCCUGACCCUGUGAGUAGUCUGAAUAAUCAUUAUAUUUGUUUCCUCUCCUCUGUUUGUGUUGAGUCUGAAAUUUGUUCUGGUGGCUUUAUUGUAGAAAACUUGUUCCUUGGCCUUGUUGUGCAUCUACUUCCAUAUUUCGAUUAUCAAAACCUUGCUGGUUUAUUUAUCAUUCUUGGGAACCUGAUGACCUGUAUUUUGGACUUGAGGUGACUGGUUUUGGGUUGUACCAUCAGUUACGAACCUUGAUUCUCCUGUAUGCAGUGUUCAGGUAAGCUUCUAUCUGGACUUGGAUCCCUGGUAUUGAUCUCUCAUUUUGUCUUUGUGCCUGAUCUGUCUUGCCUGUCUGGGCUAGAAUCUCUCAUAUGAUCUUCAUGUAUUCUUGUCUAUAGUCUUGCCCUAUCGUUGAAAUUGUUUUGACCUUGUGUCAUAUCCUCCUGUUGUGCACAUUUUGUCUCUUGGAGUUAGUAGGUCUACCAAAUUCACCUUGAUGUCUUUCCUAUCAUACUGUCUGUUAUCUGUCUGUAAUAGCCUCUGUUUAUCGAUUGCUUGCCUGUCUAUAUUUCUCUGUUAUACUGUCUGUAUUCACCUCCAUCAUUAUAAAUCGCCGUCUACUCUUCCCGACCUCUUUGAUUUCUGUUCCCAUGUCCUCUCCAAAACCCAUCUUGGUGAUGAGCAUCAGCUCUUUGUCCACUUGGUGAUCCUGAAAAAAGAAAAUGUAAUCUCUGAAGAUAUAUCUAGUACGCCAUCGUGAUUUUUCAAAACUUUGCACAUGCAACUGAACUUCCAUAAUACCACUUUCACUUUCACUUUACUUUCAAAAUAGAUUGAAAGUAUUUUUCGUUUUAGAAAUUACUAUUUUAUACUGUGAAUUUU